CGCUAUCGUCGCCUCCCUCCCGCUACCACUGCUUUCAUCCCGCUGCCAUAGUGAGGUUUGUAUUCUCUGACACUCGCUGCGCAUAGUGGUUCCGACUUAUCUGGGCUUUUCAUCUUCUCUUUGCGGUUCUGCCCUUCAACAAAAAUGGAUACAGACCGAAGUUGGAUGUAUAGGCGGCUCCAGGGCGGGUUGCUGUACCCUGGUUUUGAGGAGCGCGUCCAAGAGUUUGUAAAUUUCGCU